GGUAAGAUUUACCCACGAUCUGACAGCACUGCUGGGACAUUCAUCAUUUCCUGUUAUUAGUUGGAAGAUUUGAAAAGAUAGUUUGUGAAUGCAAUAGCUGGUUUGUUUUACAUCAUAGUAGUGUAUUAUACGCGUACUUUAUAUUUCUUGUACUAAUCGAUCAACAGUUUGGUAAAUUAUAUAAACUAAACUAAAGUUAGUAAAAAAGUAUAUAAUUAUAUGUGAAGUGAUAACAACGUAUCUAAGAAACGGAUUAAAGUACACCAUUUUGUUACAACUAUACAAAUGCAGAAAUAUUUUUUCUUGUUUUUUCUUUCUUUUUUUUUUUUUUUUUUAAUUCUUGGCAUAUAUUAUCACAAUCUUUGCAUUAUAAAAUACUUUUUCUUUUUUCGUAACGUAUUAUUCUCAGGAUAAUAAUUAUGUAUAUAUACAAUAUUUAUUUGGAUUAUAUACAUUUGUAUGGAAUAGUGUGUAAUAUAUGAGAGCAAUUGAUGAAGAAGAAGAAGAAGAAGAAGAAGAAGAAGAA